GAAUCUAAGUCGCCCCAGGUACCCGCGUCUCUAAUAAAGCCUCUUGCAGUUUGCAUCCAAGUUCGUGGUCUCGCUGAUUUCUGGGUACGGGUCUCCUUCUACGAAAGUACCUCUUCGGGGGGUCUUUCAUUUGGGGGCUUGUCUGGGAUAGAGACCCCCACUCAGGGACCACCGACCCACGUUUGGGAGCUCAUUUACAGGCCCUCCAACUAGUACAACGGGAGGUCUGGAAACCCCUUGCUCAAGCUUAUAAAGACCAGAGGGACCAUCCUGCCGUUCCCCAUUCCUACCAGAUCGGGGACACAGUCUGGGUCCGGCAUCACCAGACAAAGAAACUCGAACCCCGCUGGAAGGGACCCUACAUCGUUUUGCUUACCACCCACACCGCACUCAAAGUAGACGGCAUUGCAGCUUGGAUACAUGCCACAGGGAAACACAUAGAUGACAUCACAGAGACACAGAG
rnacentral:lncRNA from 1 species